rnacentral:misc_RNA from 1 species
GUACACACCGCCCGUCACGUCAUGAAAGUCGGUAACACCCGAAGCCGGUGGCCUAACCCGUAAGGGAGGGAGCCGUCGAAGGUGGGAUCGGCGAUUGGGACGAAGUCGUAACAAGGUAGCCGUACCGGAAGGUGCGGCUGGAUCACCUCCUUUCUAAGGAGCACCACGAGACUGCGCCCCGCCCACAUCGUGUGGGGGUUCGGUGAGUGCAGCGAUUCGUGACGAUGGGCCUGGCCUGUAGUGGGUUUCAGGUUCUGGUGCACAACGAACAUGCCCCUGGCGGGGUCGGCUGGUGACAGUCGGCUGGGGGCGAGAAGAUCACCGACACACUAUUGGGCUUUGAGACAGCAAGCCCGUCGCCUCUUCGUCCUGUUGGUGGGGAAACCGGAGGUGGUGUUGCGCCCCUGACGGGGUGUGGCGUGUUGUCGCCCUGCUUUUGGUGGUGGGGUGUGGUGUUUGAUUUGUGGAUAGUGGUUGCGAGCAUCUAGCACGCACGACUGGUUGCCGGCCCCUUGUGGGGGCCGGUGGUGUUGGUGUGUGUUGAUGUGCAAUUUUUCCUAAUCUCAUUUUGGUGUUUUGUGUUGUAAGUGUGUAAGGGCGCACGGUGGAUGCC